UAAAUGGGCCACGUUCUCACCAAAAAAGAGAUGCGCCUGUACCCCAGUAGAGUGGAAGACAUCAUGCGAUUGCCUCCUCCGCAAAACCACAAACAGCUCGAGAGCAUUCCCAAUGAAACCAACAAAGAUGCUGCCAUGGCUGAACUUCCCACCUACGCAAGCACGGAAUGGCCGAAAACGAAGGACCAACUGUACGAUGCCCAGCGCAAUUACUGGUGCUACCGUGAUGAGCUGCACGUCGAGGAUGGCCUGCUACUCAGGAGCAAUAAAAUCGUCAUUCCUCCAG